GGGCCAGGAGGAGGCAAUGGACAGAAGGGACGUCUGAAAGGAUACUCUCGAUUUCUGCCUUUAUUCUACACACAAGCCC
rnacentral:snoRNA from 1 species